rnacentral:rRNA from 1 species
GGAUUCCCCUAGUAACUGCGAGUGAAGCGGGAAAAGCUCAAAUUUAAAAUCUGGCAGUCAUUUGGCUGUCCGAGUUGUAAUCUAGAGAAGUGCUAUCCGCGCUGGACCGUGUACAAGUCUCCUGGAAUGGAGCGUCAUAGAGGGUGAGAAUCCCGUCUUUGACACGGACUACCAGGGCUUUGUGAUGUGCUCUCAAAGAGUCGAGUUGUUUGGGAAUGCAGCUCAAAAUGGGUGGUAAAUUCCAUCUAAAGCUAAAUAUUGGCGAGAGACCGAUAGCGAACAAGUACCGUGAGGGAAAGAUGAAAAGAACUUUGGAAAGAGAGUUAAACAGUACGUGAAAUUGCUGAAAGGGAAACGCUUGAAGUCAGUCGCGUUGUCCAGGGAUCAACCUUGCUUUUGCUUGGUGCACUUUCUGGUUAACGGGUCAGCAUCAAUUUUGACUGUUGGAAAAAGAUCUAGGGAAUGUGGCAUCUUUGGAUGUGUUAUAGCCCUUGGUUGCAUACAAUGGUUGGGAUUGAGGAACUCAGCACGCCGCAAGGCCGGGUUUUUAACCACGUACGUGCUUAGGAUGCUGGCAUAAUGGCUUUAAUCGACCCGUCUUGAAACACGGACCAAGGAGUCUAACAUGCCUGCGAGUGUUUGGGUGGAAAACUCGAGCGCGUAAUGAAAGUGAAAGUUGAGAUCCCUGUCGUGGGGAGCAUCGACGCCCAGACCAGACCUUUUGUGACGGAUCUGCGGUAGAGCAUGUAUGUUGGGACCCGAAAGAUGGUGAACUAUGCCUGAAUAGGGUGAAGCCAGAGGAAACUCUGGUGGAGGCUCGUAGCGAUUCUGACGUGCAAAUCGAUCGUCAAAUUUGGGUAUAGGGGCGAAAGACUAAUCGA